AGAUAAUAAUUUGGCUCAUUCGUUUCAAUUGAAAACUUUUUGUUGGCAGGGAAUGGUCCUAGUAUUAGAGGAUUGUGUACUCGUAUUUCUGCAGGUCAGGAAUAAGAGUCUCAAGUUAUGGACCCUGUAUCUGUAGUUAUAGGAGAAAAUAUGAACAGAAAAAGUCGUCUUCCAAACAGUGAUGACGAGGGUCAGGGAGCCCUUGAUGUUGGCUCCGUAUUAUCUGGGGGGAGCGGUAGGAGCAAAGUUACUAUUAAAGAAGACAGAGGAAUAACAUGCAAGGACAUUCGAGCAAUAAUGCCAACAGUACUCAUCUUACUCCUCACAAUAUUCAUUAUGGUGACAGUUAUUCCAUAUGCUUUCUCUUCAGUUAUCAAACAACUACAGGCUGUGAGUGAACUCGAAGCACAACAAGCUUAAACGGAAUGUAUAUCUAGCUAUAUACUGUUUUAACUCAACUCAAGUAUAUAUUUAGAGGCUGUAUCAGCUGGACAAGAUGCAGAACCAAACCAAACCCAGUCCAGUCAAUAAAACAUGGCGGCGAAACGUGGGUCAACCACGUGUAAAGAUUUAAAAUUUUAAAACGGGCAGCCGCAUUAAAAUAGGCGAUUAUUAUAGUUCAUAUACAUCCAGAUUUCACUAAAUGCUGAAAUAAUUUUUUUUUGACUUUUUAGAAAGAUGUUUAAAAACUGUUUAAAUAAAGAGAUUAUUCAGAUAUUUAAA